rnacentral:rRNA from 1 species
GGGGCACCCCCGGGAGGGGACCCUGCUUCUUAUUUACACUCAACACGGGAAAACUCCCCCGGCCAGGACACCGUAGGGAUUGACACACUUUGAGUCUUUCUUUGAUUCGGGGGGGGGGGGCGCAUGGCCUCUCUUGGUGGGUGGACCAUUUGGUCUGGUUAAUUCCGAUAACUAACGACACUUUGCCCUGCUAAAUAGACAGGCGAUCCAUUGGGGGCGUCCUUAUCAGCUUCUUAGAGGGACAAGUGCCGUUCCUAGCCACGGGAAACUUAGCAAAAGCAUGUCGGUGAUGUCCUUAGAAGCCCGGGGCCGCAGGCCCUCUACAAUGGGGGACGCCUUGUGCCCGCAAUCCCUGACCCGAAGGGGUUGGGUAAUCAUAUUAAUUUCCCUCGUAAUAUUUAUUGCGCAUUGUAACUAUUGCUCAUGAACGGGGAACUCCUAGGGAGCGAGUGAUUAAAUCACGCCUCUUCUAUGUCUCUGCCCUUUGUACACACCGCCCGUCUGUAAUACCGAUUGUGU